GCAGCUGUCAAAUUCAACUGCUGUUCAAAUCGUUCAAACAUUACUCAUCACAUUCUGCGGCGAUGUGGCGAGGGUGAUUAUACUGAUUGAGUUAAAUAGGCCUACAGCCGGCAUCCGGAUUCUGGUUCGAUUUCGCUGAAAGUUUGAUUUAUAUACCGGCCGGGGCAGCACAUCGCGGGAGCGUAAACAAGUUAUUAAAAUAAUCGAUUAGCGGUUACACAAUCUGCCGUCAAUCGGCUGGCUGGCGAUUGGAACGACGGGGAUGCCACACGGUAGGGUGGUUCCGUUCGAUUAUUUCACUCGGCUCGGGGCUCGGGGCAACACCGGGAAGCACUAGGGACUAGAGACAGCAGGAGGCCGUAAAUUUUCGGCAUUGAACGGAUUGUGGAUGCCGGAGAUGACUGCCCUGGGAGUGAAAACUGUGGAACGCAUUUGUAAUUCAUAUGGCGAAAGCUCAUAUCACACAGUUCGAUGAGGAAAAUCGGCACCACAACAUAAAUAAUUUCCCAGCCAAAGGAUUGUUACAAAUCAAACGUGUAUAUUUUUCUUUUUGCUUUCGAUAGUCUACAAUGUGAUGUGAUUUUGGAAAGCCAGCAGGCCACCAAUUUCUUCGUUGUUUAUAAUCUAAAUCAACCGACAUGUAACAAUAAACAGUUAGCACGAAUAUCGUGCGUGUCUCUCACUCGUUGAAUGUGCAACUCGUUGCUUUAGAUAUAACAACACCGUGAAGCGGUUUUGCAAUAACAAGUGGCAGUAGGCCUGGAAUCGGGUUGGCACGGUAACACACUAAUGGCGAUAUCAAAGCAUGGCCUUCUAAUAUUCUGCGCUAACAAGUUUCAAAUGCCAAACAAAAGAACGGAAACCGAGCGGGUAUUUAAUGAAUUCGC